ensembl:lncRNA
GUUUGAGCAAAAAACACCAAGCCAUUUUAUGCACACGUGGGUAAGGCUGUCAGGCAUUCCUUCAAGCAAUUGCAGAAAAAUGAGGCGUGGGGAAAAUGCAAUCAAUGCUUAAGAGGUGGAGUAAACUCUCUCUUUGUUAGGUCCUGUUCCCUGUUUUGCUGCUUUGUUCUUGUGCUAUGUCUGGUGUGUAAUCACGUAACUCCCAUUGUUUACAAAGCUUUAUUCCAAAUGUCCAAUAUUGUAAAGUUGUAUAUUCUUUUCCCUUUCUCUUUUUAAAGUCACUGAAGAUUUGCAGUACGCUCAUUGGAAUCAUAAUGGCAUGACCUGUUUGUUGUACAGUACAGAAGCUGUUGCAUUUGAGCAAAUCCUCCCUUGCUGCAGUCACCCAGGGAGGACCUGCCUAAGUUGUCACUCAGCAGUGCUGUAUGGAGCCAAGGAUGUUUCAGUUUUUCAGUUUCUUGAACGAUUCUGCCAGCAAGAAGGGCCGAGGGGACACAAGGAACCAGGAGGGGACAGAACCAAAACAGCUGACCUAACCUGGCCAAAUAGGUAUUCUAUACCAUAUGACAUCAUGUGGGAGGAGGGGGGGAACCCAAACAAAACACCCUUGAAAAACAGUGGGGAGUUGGCUGCAUGACCUGCUGCUGCUUGGGGACUAGCUGGGCAUUGGCCAACAGGUGACGAGUAGCUGCUUACGCACCACUUGCUCUGUAUAUAUCAUUAUCAUUACUGUUCUCUCUUUUUCAUCUUCCUUUUCUAUCUUAGUAAGUAGUUUUGAUCUCAACACAUGAGUUUUAG